AGAAGUCCACGACGUCCUCAAAGGCGUCACAGAUCCCUCGAUUAAUUCUUGAAAUACCGUCGUCUGUUGAACGAGGGCUUUCAAUCCGAAUGGUUGUGGCAGUUUAGAAAAAAUAUAUUAUAUUGAAGAAGAGAGAGAAGCUGUAGAUGAUGGAGCAUACCGAAACACUUAUUUGAAGAUACAGAAAUAGAAAUAAUAUAUGAUAGGAUUUGUCUAACUUCUUAUAGAAAUACGACACAGCGGGAUAGAAUUCUCUUUCGACUUUCAGCUGUACUAUUUCAUAGACAUCGAACA